CAAUUUGUCUGUAUGUAUAUCAGAACCCAGAAGAGGAUGUUGGAUCCCCUGGAACUAGAGUUAGAGGUGGUUGUGAACCUUCUUAUAUGGGUGUGGGGAACUGAACCUAAGUCCUCUGUAAGAGCAGCAAGUUCUUUUUAACUACUGAGCUAUCUCUCCACCCCUACAGAUCACUUGAUGAGGGUCUUUCUGUUUACAAUUUUGCAUUUUCUUUUCUUUUUCCUUUUUUUUUUUUUUUUUUUUUUUGGAGGGGGAGCAUCUAGUAUUUCAAUAGUAGAGAAGAUAUAAAUAUAUGUAAAGUCGGCUCAAUGUGGUGGUGCAUGCCUAAAAUCCCAGCAUUGGGAAGCCUAGGCAGGAAGAUGUCUGAAGCCUCCUGCGAUACUAAAUGAAUGAAGAAAACACGUAUGGUGUGACAAUGAUACACAUGAAUUAGAAGCCUGGCCCUCGUAUUUAUCUUCUGUGUCAGGGUGUCCUGCUCUCUGGGAAUAUGGGUACAGAGCUGGCAGGACAGCAUGUGGCUAAACACCAAAACAGAAAAACAAGACCAUCCAGGAGCUGCUAGGAUCAACACAGCCAACCAAGACCACCAGCUAGCCUCUGCUUCGUCACAGUGGUAUUCCACAUCUGCCUCACAAGUAUUGCCUGUUCUCAUCAUGUACAUACCUGACACCACAACACAUCCAGAAAACUGGAUAAAACAGAAAAAGGAAGUGAAACCUUCUCUAGGUAACUCAGACCCACUCCUGGAAUUCCCUGUCUUUUUCAUGCUUGAACUCAUAAACAAUUCUUCUUUGCCAGGCGAGCUAUCCAAAAUCCUUGGGGAGGUGACCUUCUCUUGAAAAGUGUGCACUUUUUUGUGAGUGGGUACUUUUGUCCUGUAAUAAGAUUCCUCCAUUUGUCUUAAUUCUGAAUCCUUUCUCAGCUGUGACAACUUCUUUCCCUCCCUUCCCUCCCCUCCCCUCCCCUCCCCUCCUUCUCUCUUCUCUUCUCUUUCCUUUCUCUCUAAGACAGGGUCUUACUUCAUCUCCUUCUGACCUCCAUUUCUCAUCCUGCUGCUUCCACCUUCUAAGUGUUGGGAUUAAAUAAAAUCUACCAUGUUUGGC